AGAGUUUGAUCCUGGCUCAGAGUGAACGCUGGCGGCAGGCCUAACACAUGCAAGUCGAGCGGCAGCGCGGGGGCAACCCUGGCGGCGAGCGGCGGACGGGUGAGGAAUUCGUCGGAAUCUGCCUUUUUGUGGGGGAUAACGUAGGGAAACUUACGCUAAUACCGCAUACGUCCUACGGGAGAAAGUGGGGGACCGCAAGGCCUCACGCAGAAAGAUGAGCCGACGACCGAUUAGCUAGUUGGUGGGGUAAAGGCCCACCAAGGCGACGAUCGGUAGCUGGUCUGAGAGGAUGAUCAGCCACACUGGGACUGAGACACGGCCCAGACUCCUACGGGAGGCAGCAGUGGGGAAUAUUGGACAAUGGGCGCAAGCCUGAUCCAGCCAUGCCGCGUGUGUGAAGAAGGCCUUCGGGUUGUAAAGCACUUUUGUCCGGAAAGAAAUCCCUGGAGCUAAUACCUUCGGGGGAUGACGGUACCGGAAGAAUAAGCACCGGCUAACUUCGUGCCAGCAGCCGCGGUAAUACGAAGGGUGCAAGCGUUACUCGGAAUUACUGGGCGUAAAGCGUGCGUAGGCGGUUCGUUAAGUCUGAUGUGAAAUCCCCGGGCUCAACCUGGGACGUGCAUUGGAAACUGGCGAUCUAGAGUACGGUAGAGGGUGGUGGAAUUCCCGGUGUAGCAGUGAAAUGCGUAGAGAUCGG
rnacentral:rRNA from 1 species